AUGAACAAAGCAGCGGUCCAGCGGCACCAGGAAUGGGCGCGGGAGGUGCGGAUCCGUAGCCGGAAGGCAAGCUUUGGCCGGAUCCAGGGCGAGAACGGCAGAGAUGGCCGGCUGGGCAGGAGGCGCGAGCACAGGGACUUGACGCGGCGGGGCUCCUCAACGCAGGAAGCAGCGGGCGAUGGCGCUGGUCACAGAGCAAGGCAAGGUCAAAGGAGCAGGAGGGAGCACGCAGGCGAACUUGAUGACGAGGGGCCAUGGUCGCGGGCGCGUGAGGAAGAGAAGAGGGAGGCGGCUCGGGGCAUCGGAAUGGCCAUGGCACCAUGGGGAAAAUGUAGAGGCAGGGCGCAACACGACAGCAGUACGGCGGCGGCUGCAGGCUUGCAGCGAGGAGAUCCAUGGAUCGGGACAAGGGGUGCGGCGUUGCUCUCUCCCUGUCUCUCUCUGACGGUGCAAGCACAGGAGGGAGGAAGGGAUCGAUGGGGGAGAGUGGUUUCGGGCGCUGGCGCGGAAUGUGUGCGGUGCUGCGGGAGGGAGGAGAACGGGGAGAUGGGGAUCGGGCCAGGGAGAGGGUUAGGGUUAGGAGGGGAGGAACUGGGCCUUGGAGGCCGGCCCAGGGAGGGGAAGUGGCCAGAGGCCUGCCGGCUGGAUGGGCCUCGCUGGAACCCAGUUCGGCUAGGCUCUCUCUACUCUCUUCUCUUAGCCAAAUAG
rnacentral:rRNA from 1 species